GUGCUCACUUUGGCAACACAUAUACUAAAAUUGAAAUGACACAAAGAUUAGCACAGCCCCUGUGCAAGGAUGACAUGCAAAUUCAUGAAGCAUUCCAUAUUUUU
rnacentral:snRNA from 1 species